UACGGGGGGUGCGAGCGUUGUCCGGAAUCACUGGGCGUAAAGGGUGCGUAGGUGGCGGGGUUAGUCAGGUGUGAAAUCUCGGGGCUCAACCCCGAAACUGCACUUGAUACUGCCUUGCUAGAGUACUGGAGAGGAGAUUGGAAUUUACGGUGUAGCAGUGAAAUGCGUAGAUAUCGUAAGGAAGACCAGUGGCGAAGGCGAAUCUCUGGACAGUUACUGACACUGAGGCACGAAGCCAGGGGAGCAAACGGG
rnacentral:rRNA from 1 species